AUUGAACGCUGGCGGCAGGCCUAACACAUGCAAGUCGGACGGUAGCACAGAGGAGCUUGCUCCUUGGGUGACGAGUGGCGGACGGGUGAGUAAUGUCUGGGGAUCUGCCCGAUAGAGGGGGAUAACCACUGGAAACGGUGGCUAAUACCGCAUAACGUCGCAAGACCAAAGCGGGGGACCUUAGGGCCUCUCACUAUCGGAUGAACCCAGAUGGGAUUAGCUAGUAGGCGGGGUAAUGGCCCACCUAGGCGACGAUCCCUAGUUGGUCUGAGAGGAUGACCAGCCACACGGGAACUGAGACACGGUCCAGACUCCUACGGGAGGCAGCAGUGGGGAAUAUUGCACAAUGGGCGCAAGCCUGAUGCAGCCAUGCCGCGUGUAUGAAGAAGGCCUUCGGGUUGUAAAGUACUUUCAGCGGGGAGGAAGGCGGUGAGGUUAAUAACCUUGCCGAUUGACGUUACCCGCAGAAGAAGCACCGGCUAACUCCGUGCCAGCCGCCGCGGUAA
rnacentral:rRNA from 1 species